CCCCACUCAUCCCUACCAGCACACUACCUAUGCACCCUUAGGAUCAAGACUCCUGGGCCAGAGUCGACCUCAUUCCCUUUGAUAGCUAAAGGAUCUGAGGCCCAAAGAGGAGAAGAAGCUGGGGGUGCGCACACCAGCCCAGCAGAGAGGACAUGGGCAGGUCCUGAUGGCAUGACCACACAGGCUGGGUUGUUUGUCCAGGGGCCGUGAGAGGACCGAGGCUCUGCUCCAUUCCAGCCCCGUGCACUGGUGGCCGAUGAUACGGAACAUGACGGCCAUUGCCAGGUCCAGGAGGAAGGGGAGUGUUUCAUUAGCUGCAUGUUUUAUGUGGUGGCAGCUGAUGCUCCUGUCGGGACCUGCACACGCAGUUUGCCCGCCUGCCUAAUGGAGGAGAAAUGUGCUCUCCAGCGCGGCCAUCCCUGGACCCAGGCAAGCGCUAGGAGGGACUCACUGCAGGCUGCUGGUGGCCAGAAGCCCUCAGUGGAACAGGACAAGGAGGAGGACAGCAGGCCCCACAGGCGAGACGGUUGUCAAGGAAGAGGCUGGAGAUCUGCCCACGGGAUAAUGGAGUGGUACCCACUUCUUGGAGAGAACCAUUUUUUCUGAUGUCAAAUCAGGACUUUGGGGACCCUGAAGGGAACAGGGUGGCUCACCCCCAGGAUGCAGGUGGGGAAACUCAUGCUCAGAUGACCUUGUCCUUGUCUGUGAACUCCAUUGCAGUCCCAGGCACCCGGUCCCACCAGAGCCCCAGACAGUAGUCCUGAGGUCCACUCUGUGCACUCACUCCUGGAACAAAGACCCUAGGAGGAAAAACACCCAAGAGCGCCUGGGCUUGGCUCCUGGCUGCUGCAGAGCUUUGCCAGGAAGUUAAAGUCAGAUCAAAGAGGAGGGAACAGCUCUGGCUAAAAUGAAGACGUGGGAAGAGGAAAUAAAGCCUUGG